rnacentral:lncRNA from 1 species
CCGUAUCUAAGUCAUAGAGUUUGUAUUAAGAGUAUGAAAAUUGUAAUUUUCAUUUAUUAGAUCGAUCAUGCAGGAGAUUAUCGUUUGGUGAUUGCGAUGAUCUUCUUUUUAUUGUUUCUGCAUUGUGUACGAAUUUAUAGUAUAUUUUGUCACGAAAUCGCCAAAGGGGGAGAUUGUUAAGGAUUUUAUAGGUUGGCGAAUUUCGUAAAGUUGGUUGGAGUCUUGAAGAGUUGAUCGCAGAAGUUUUGAAGAAAAGAUUCAAAUUGAAGAACAAAGACUCAUUCGGAAAGCUCGACACUUAAGGUAUGAAGAAAAGAUCAUU